GAUGAACGCUGGCGGCGUGCUUAACACAUGCAAGUCGAACGAACUGAUAGGAGCUUGCUCCUUGAAGUUAGUGGCGGACGGGUGAGUAACGCGUGGGUAAUCUACCUCAUACAAAGGGAUAACUCAGAGAAAUCUGUGCUAAAACCUUAUAAGCUUACACUAUCAUAUGAUGGAGUAAGAAAAUUUAUUGGUAUGAGAUGAGCCCGCGUCCGAUUAGCUAGUUGGUGGGAUAACAGCCUACCAAGGCCACGAUCGGUAACCGGCCUGAGAGGGUGACCGGUCACACUGGGACUGAGACACGGCCCAGACUCCUACGGGAGGCAG
rnacentral:rRNA from 1 species